rnacentral:rRNA from 1 species
AGUCGAGCGAGGCCCACUCUUCGGGGUGGUGCCCUAGCGGCGAACGGGUGAGUAACACGUGGGCAACCUGCCCUCAGCUCUGGGAUAACUCCAAGAAAUUGGUGCUAAUACCGGAUGUGACCGCUGACCGCAUGGUCUGGUGGUGGAAAGAUUCAUCGGCUGAGGAUGGGCCCGCGGCCUAUCAGCUUGUUGGUGGGGUAGUGGCCCACCAAGGCGACGACGGGUAGCCGGCCUGAGAGGGUGACCGGCCACACUGGGACUGAGACACGGCCCAGACUCCUACGGGAGGCAGCAGUGGGGAAUAUUGCGCAAUGGGCGGAAGCCUGACUCAGCGACGCCGCGUGAGGGAUGACGGCCUUCGGGUUGUAAACCUCUUUCAGUAGGGACGAAGCGAAAGUGACGGUACCUACAGAAGAAGCACCGGCCAACUACGUGCCAGCAGCCGCGGUAAUACGUAGGGUGCAAGCGUUGUCCGGAAUUAUUGGGCGUAAAGAGCUCGUAGGCGGUCUGUCGCGUCAGCUGUGAAAACCCGAGGCUCAACCUCGGGCCUGCAGUCUAUACGGGCAAACUAGAGUACUGCAGGGGGAGACUGGAAUUCCUGGUGUAGCGGUGAAAUGCGCAUAUAUCAUGAGGAACACCGGUGGCGAAGGCGGGUCUCUGGGCAGUAACUGACGCUGAGGAGCGAAAGCGUGGGGAGCGAACAGGAUUAGAUACCCUGGUAGUCCACGCCGUAAACGUU